AUGUCACUGAAGACCUGCUCUUCACGCUGGCAAAGGAAGUACUUAAGCAACGUGAUGUUUGUUAAAACUGCAAAAUAUCUUCUAAACGUGUUUUUGCGCAACACUGGAGAAAAAUGCGAGUGCACGUGUGCAAGGCACACCAUCUGCUCACCCUGACGUGGUGCCCACACUUCCAGACCCUACCAGGACUCCUUUCCCCCACUUAUGGCUUCACUCCAGCAUCUAACCUAAGCACGACAGCGACAGCCAUACAAACAGCAAUCAUCCUGGCUCAUUCAUGUGCUAAUUGACCAGCUGGAGCAGGACCACCACCUCUCAACACAGCACGGCCACACCAGACUUGAGGAGUCCUUGUCAUAGGAAGAAAAGCACACAAGGCGGUGUGCAUCUGGUCCCCUGGUGAUUUACAAGCUCCCUUUCUCCUCGCAGUCUCUGUUUGGUGCAUGGGAGAGGGGAAGGA